CGAUAUCACCUCUUGAAGCCUUGGAAUCACCAGCCUGCAUGCGCAGACGACACUAGUCUGUUGCUGGGACUUUCCACGUGAAAACCAGCAGCCGCGACGCCAACCUCGGUCGCGGUCCACAGAUCAAACACUAGUGGCCCAUUGACCUGCAAGCACCUGGAGUGCUGCUGGCUGUGGGUUAAAAUAUGACCGGCCUCACCUAGAAAUAGGUGAGAACACGUGUUCCGUAGGUGAACCUGCGGAAGGAUCAUUACCGAGUUAGGGUCUUUCAGGCCCGACCUCCCACCCUAUGUGUACCUACCUUUGUUGCUUUGGCGGGUCCGCUGGGGAGACCCACCGGCGGCCUCACAGGCGGCCGAGUGCCCGUCAGAGACCCAUCAAACUCUGUCAAUUGUGCCGUCCGAGUACAAAUUCAAUAAACAAAACUUUCAACAACGGAUCUCUUGGUUCUGGCAUCGAUGAAGAACGCAGCGAAAUGCGAUAAGUAAUGUGAAUUGCAGAAUUCAGUGAAUCAUCGAAUCUUUGAACGCACAUUGCGCCCUUUGGUAUUCCGAGGGGCAUGCCUGUUCGAGCGUCAUUACACCACUCAAGCUCGGCUUGGUGUUGGGCCCCGUCCCCCGCGGACGUGCCCGGAAAUCAGCGGCGGCGCAGCCCGGCUUCAAGCGAUAUUGGUCUUUUCCAGCUUUGGAAGCCCGGGCUUGGGUCUGCCAGACAACCUCACCACUUCAAAGGUUGACCUCGGAUCAGGUAGGGAUACCCGCUGAACUUAAGCAUAUCAAUAAGCGGAGGAAAAGAAACCAACAGGGAUUGCCUCAGUAACGGCGAGUGAAGCGGCAACAGCUCAAAUUUGAAAUCUGGCCCUUCCGGGGUCCGAGUUGUAAUUUGUAGAGGAUGCUUCGGGUUCGGCUCCGGUCUAAGUUCCUUGGAACAGGACGUCACAGAGGGUGAGAAUCCCGUACGUGACCGGCCGCCACGCCCGUGUGAAGCUCCUUCGACGAGUCGAGUUGUUUGGGAAUGCAGCUCAAAAUGGGUGGUAAAUUUCAUCUAAAGCUAAAUAUUGGCCAGAGACCGAUAGCGCACAAGUAGAGUGAUCGAAAGAUGAAAAGCACUUUGGAAAGAGAGUUAAACAGUACGUGAAAUUGUUGAAAGGGAAGCGCUUGCAACCAGACUUGCCCGCAGGUGAUCAGCCAGUGUUCUCACCGGUGCACUCGCCCGUGGUCAGGCCAGCAUCGGUUUGGGCGGCCGGACAAAGUCCCCCGGAAUGUGGCUCCUCUCGGGGAGUGUUAUAGCCGGGGGUGCAAUGCGGCCCGCCUGGACCGAGGACCGCGCU
rnacentral:sRNA from 1 species